rnacentral:lncRNA from 1 species
AAGGUCCUAACAAUCCAAUAGGAUUAUAGAGAAUUUAUAAUUAAAUGUUAACAAUCAUAAUCAAACAUUAAGCAAGCUUAAUUAAAUUUUAUUGAAGUUAUAAAAGAAACAUAAGAAAAUUCUAAAGAAAUAUAGAAGAAUAUUAAAAAAAACUUAGUCAAAUCCUAACAAAAAUCUAAUAGAACCUUAAAUUCUAACCAAAUCCUAAUCCUAAUCCAACCUUAAUCAAACCCUAGAUAAAUCCUAAAUCCUAAAUCAAAUCCUAAUCAAACCUUAAUCCCUAACUAAACCCUAAUCCAAAUCUUAAACCCUAAUCUAAACCCUAAAUCCUAAAUCCUAAACCAAAUCCUAUCCAAAUCCUAAACCCUAAACCAAACCCUAAUCCAAAUCCUAAUCUAAACCCUAAAUCCUAAACCAAACCUUUAACCAAACUCUAAUCAAAUCCUAAACCCUAAAUCAAACCCUAUCCAAAUCCUAAACCCCAAAUCAAAUCCUAAUAAUUCUUACAACAGAUUUAAACCUCAAUAACUAAUGAAUAAACCGUUGAUCUUAAUUGAAAUUUUGUAUACUUCUAAAACAAUAAGUUAAAAACAAGCACAAAAAAUUUGAUAAGGAUCGGAGUUACCAUAUUGACGAUAUCCUCAAAAAUGUGCUCGGGUAUUGGCUGGCCUCCUUCUCCAAUCUUGAUGCCAAUCUUCUAGAGCCAAUAUCUCUCCUUUUCACCUUUCGAUUAAUCUCAAAAUUCUCAUACGCAUAGAAAAACAAGUCUUAUAUCCUCUCACACACGUUUCACUCCAAUCCAACUAGUAGAUUCCAAGAAAUCUUAAAAAAACCUCACUAGACCUAAAAUUCUACUUUCUAAGACCUUGAUCCACUUAAACCUCAAUAUCCUUCAAUUUAACUGUUAGAUCGAGCUCAAAUUCACUACACAUAUUUAACACAACUAUAAUCAUAAACCUACAAAAUUUCACCCAUAGAUCUAUUACAAAACUCUUGAAAUCACCCAAAAUGUAAACCCUAUUUUAUUUCAUAAAACCCAAGUCAUCUGAAAUAAAUCUUGACUUUGCAAAGCUAUUACAAAGUCAAUACAGAUCUAAAUCACCCAAAACCAACACCCAUAGAAACCCUAUUCAAUCUUCUAUCAGACCCCACUCUUCGAUCUGCCAAAGAGUCCUAGAGUCGCUAUCAGAGCACGGUUUUGUGCCUCGGGGUCUGAUUUCGACCCAGGUUCAUAACUGGUCCUCUUCGGGUAUCAACUUUCGUCUUCUUGAGGUAAUUUUUACUAAUUUGUACUCCUAACUCCUUCCUACAUAUGCCUAUAUCCUUUAUUUUUCUAAUCUACCUCAUUUUGCUUUAUUUAUGGCCUUAUAAAGUAAAUAGAAGCAUAAUUUUUAAAUAGGUAGCAUUAGCACCUUUAAUUAUUCUAUCCUUUGACUAAUAUCUAUUUUUCUAAGUUAAUUUGCUAUAAUAUUUUUGAAGUGAGAUCCUCAAAACAUGAUAUUUUCUUCACCCAUUCACUUGUUAUCCAUAUUACAUCACGACAACUUCUACCACCAUUAGAAGAGAUUAUCUUUGCUAUCCAAUCAAAUUGCUUAUUUUACAUCUUUAGCUAUGGCAUACCCAAGAUAACAUCAUAUCUUAGCUUUGUCACUUUAAACCUCUCUCUUAAGACACUAUCGUAUUAUGGUUUGGCUACCAUUUGAAAAUAAUGUGUUUAUAUAUUUAAUGUAUAAUUUAUUUAGCAACAUGGUGAAAGCCAUGUUAUUGGAUUUUACUUGAUUGUAGAAUGUGGUUUAAUUACUAAUUUAAAAAGAGAUUUUUUAGAAAGAUUACUAUUAGAAUUUUUAUAACUUAAUUUUUUUUUGAUAGUGACUUUUGAAGUUGGUUUUUUUGGUAGUAACUUGGUACAUGUAGAGUCACUUUGAUUAUAUAUUGGUGAUUCUUAAAGUUUUAUUUUGGUUCUUUAAUUUGGUGUUUAAGGCAUAUAAUAUGUAAAUCUUAUACAAAAAAGAAUUGAAGAGGAAUUUUGGUAGUAAAAAAGGUAGUUAGGAUAUCUAUAUGAAUGAAUGGAAAUGGAUGAUAUAAAUCUCCAUUCCUAUUGGUCAAAAACCAUGACGAAUGGACUUCAAGGAAGGUGCCCAAGUCCAUAUUAGAAAUUAGGAUUAGUCUUUUGGAGACAAUUAAAUAUCAAAGGCUAGGAUUUUUUGCUAUGGUUUUAGUGUAAAUUUUGAGUCAAUUGGAGUUUUAAUGAAGGAGAUAUAGGCGCUCAAAGUCAAGAAGUUGGUAUUAUAUCUACUAUCAUUCUUUUGGAUAUAACACAUGCAUAUAGAAAGCAACAGAAAAUCGGUGACUAGGAUUGGAGAGAAAAUUUUGGAUACAAUUUUGGCAUAUUUUUUGAUGGAUUCUAAGUUUGGAUGAAAGAGAUAUUGGAGGUUGAAAUCAGUGGUUGAAAAUCUAAGGGUAAUAAGUCAUCCAAUUCACUAGUAGUUGUAUUUUGAACUAUAUCUUGAGAAAUUUGAUAAGAUUUUGGCUCAAAAAUUCCAAGAAUGUGUGUAAUUAUGUUAAUAAACUUUACAUAAAAAUUUUGUGGCAUUUGGAUUUUGGAUUUGUGAGAUAUGAAGAAAAUAGUAGUCAAGUGCUUCUAAAUUAGGUUUUGAAGUGCCUGUUAGGAUUUUAAGAUACUAAAAAAUUAAUAGCAAAUUAAUAGUUGAAUUUUUUUUAUAGUAAUGCUUAAGAAUAAAAACUAUAUUAUCUGAAAAUUUUACAAAAAUUGAAUGGUUGGAUCAAGAGAUAUGAAUUUUUAAAGUUCGGGAAGAAGAAAAUCUAUGCAAGAAAAAUAUGUUUUGUAAGGAUUUUAUCACAAUUUGAGUAUUUUAUACAAAGUAAAGGGAUUUUUUGGAAGUCAAGACUUUAUGUAUAUGUUGAAAAUGGAUAUAUAGAGCUAUGGUUAAAUUUUGAUAUAAAUAUGAGUUUUUGAGAGGAGAUUAUGGAUUUUCUUUGGAAUUAUUGAAAAUCUAACUUAUAAAAAAAUGGUUAAUUAUUAUUUGGGAUAACCAAGAAUGUUAGAGAAUUUUUAGAUAUUUUAGAAAGCCUUAUAUAAAAACCUUCUUAAAUAUAAGAUAUUUUAUUAAUAUAAUAUCUUUUUGAUAUUAUAAUUUUUAUUUGUCUUCUACUUUAAAGGUUAAGUAGCUUAUUGGAACUUGGUCCAUAAGUUAAAACUAAACUCUCUACAGCUAGGUAUCCAAUGUAUUUCCAAAUAGAAUACCAUGCAAUAUAACAAUAUAUGUAUUAAUCAACCUCAAGGUUUUUUUUUCACAUAUCUCAUUCAAUAUGUUCUUCGGUCAUUUGUAAGGUAUAUACUUUCUUCUUUGAUUGCCUUAAUUUUAAUUCCAAAUUAGUGGGUAAUUACAAUUGAAAUACAAUUUCUUGUAGAACCACAAUCUACAAGCAUUUGACAUAGUUGUCCUCUUAAUAGUCCCAUUAGAUACACUAGUUAAUUCUUUUUAUAGUUAUCUAAGGCCAUGCUAUUUACCUUUCAGAGAAAAUAGCUACUCCCACUAUUGGCCCUUGAUACCUUUACUAGGAAGCUCCAUUUUUUUGCUCUAUAUCAUUAUCAACUUGGUGAAUUUUAAGAAUAAAAACUAGCCUUAUUUUAUUGGGGCUUGAAUUUUGAUGUUUUAAACAACCUUCACUCUGAUGGCCUGGCUCUCAAAAAUAAUAACACAAUCCCUUUUAUAUCAAUAUUUUUUGUCUUUCUAGUAUUAAUGAUCUUUAUAGGGCAUCAAUUUCUAUUGAAGUUGGUUGUUGUGCCAUCAUAUUAGAUAGCAGCAUAUAACUUGGUGCUAUAGAUUGUGCUAUUUAAUAUUUGAAAUCUAUACCAUCAAUUCUCUCUACAAUUUGAAUUGCGUCUUCAAACAUUUGUGGAUCCUUUAAUUCCACUUCUUCUUAGAUCAUAGGUUUUAAACCUUACAGAAAUUGAUCCAUUAUCUCUACCUCCAAAACAUUUUUAAUUUAAAGAUAUAACAACUUAAAUCAAGAAACAUAAUCUUAUACCAACUUAAAUUAUAUAAGACUUAUCAAGUGAUUGUGUGCUAUCUUUUUCGUAUUGAUGGACUAAAAUUUAUUCCUAAAUUUGGUCUCAAACUCCUCUCAAUUACAUAAUCUACCUUGAGCUUUAUAGCUUUGAACUUAAUAUUGCUACCAAAUGGCUACUAUAUCUCUCAAAUAGCUAGCUGCAUAUAUAAUUCUUUCAGUGGUAUUUUCUUUAGAUAUUUUGAAGUAUUGUUACAUGUUGAAGAGCCAUUGACAUACAUCUUCUUGUCUUGAAGUUCUAAAAUAUGUACUAGGCUUACUCAAUUUCAGCCUAGCAAAUGUCAACUUCCUCAAGGCUUCUAUUUGUCCUUGCAAAGUAGCUAUCUGGCCAAUAAGGUGUUGUAUUUGAGUCUCCAUGUAGGAUUGCUCUACCAUAUCUCCCAUGCUAUAAUUUCUCCAUUAGAUUCUACUUUUAUAAUACCUUCUUAUUUUUUAAUUGAUUUUUUAAGAAUAGUUCAUGGUAGCUUCAAUAUAAUAUCCAGUGUCAUUACAACUACUAAUCUUAGACUAAAUGAUGACUAUCAAUAUAGUUCCAAAGAACACUCUAAUACUUACUCAGCUACCAAUGAAACAUGACUGAUCUAUUUCAAGAAUUCAAGAUCCUUCUAAUCCACUAUAACAUAAAAUUUCAUCACAAGAUAGGACAAACUUGAUCAAAAUAAAUUAAAUAGAAUUAAACAGAAUGAGAUACAAAAGACAAAAUUGAGGAAACUGAAUUAGAAAAAAUAUAUAUAUAUAUAUAUAUAUAUAUAUAUAUAUAUAUAUAUAUAUAAAAAAUCCAUUUGUAUUAAAAAAAAGAUUUCGAAGCCAUACUUGACCUAAUGCUCUAAAAGGCCAUGGCCAAUUCCAUUUAUAGUUUAUUUUAUUUUCUAGAAUGUUUUUAGUUGAUAGACCUUAUUUAGAUAACUGCCUUAAACUCUUUUUAGAUGAUUCUAUAGUAGAUGUUAUUUAGAUAACUGCCACAAGUCUAUUCUAGAAGGUUCUAUGGUGGAUGUGAUUGCUCGUUUUACUUAUUUUAAAUUAAUCUAAUGGAAAUAAACUCAUAUAGGGAGAUUCGAACACAGGGAAUGACUAGUUGCUUAAGCGUUCACGUUAAGGUCACACAAUCAAUUAUCUCCUGAAUGUAUCGUCUCUAUUUUCAAUAUCUAAACACACAAGGAAACUAUAAUCUCUUCCUUCACCUUAUCGGUCUCUUCUUUACAGUAAUUCAGUCAUAUCAAUAACUGCUAUUUCUACCAAUAUAUUCACCCUCAUAUUCUCCAACUAUAAUACUGCACCCUCAUAGCUUUCAGCACACAAUUAUCCUUAUUCCAAUCACUAGAAUUCUUCACAUAGAACUGCCAUUCACAUUACAGUGUUUCACACAAACACAGACUCAUUCUCUUUGCUAAACUACAAUCAGAUUUCAGCAUUCAAUCUUUCUUCUUCUCAAAUAAUACCAAUCACAUUUCCAUUCCAUAAUUCACUUCACAAUAUUUAGAAACUCUCAAUCCUCUUAUUCAAAGAAAAUAACAAAUAAAAAAAAAGAGGUAGCACCAAGCUUACCCCUGCUCACAACUAUCACAGAGAUGGCAUUUUCUUCCCCUCUCCCAUCCUCCUUAUACUACUCCAAGAUACCAACUCCUAUACUAUAGAUGAUAACUACUUUUCUUGACUAUCCAUCCAUUCUACCUACUGAACCACCUUUUAACAGUUAUCUAUCCCUGUUUAUACUAUACACUAGGUAUCUUUAUUAUGUAAAAUAACUACUUAUUCUACAUAGCCCCACUCCUAACUAUGCAGUGUCUUCGCAAACACUCAAUUGAUACCUAUCUAAAAAUUAUCUAACGAAUCUCUACAAAGUUAUUAGUUCCUCUGGCCCACCUAAUUAAUCAUUUGCUGCAUUAUCGAAUGUAGGUUCGACCAAAUCUGGUUCCAAUUUCAAAUCUUCUUCUUUUUCCUCCAGUCCAUCAACUCCUUCCUCAACUGGUUUGAUAGAUCUUCAUUAUACUCACCCAGUACACGGACUUGAGUAUCCAGUUUCAAGAUCUUGACAUCCCGAAGUUCCAAUUGUUAUUGCUGACUCAUCCAUUCUGAAAUAUCUUCAAUCAACACUUGUGACCGGCUCCUCACUGUUAAUUCUUAACUGGAACUACUAUUCUCGAAAACACAAGAAAUACAAGAAAAUGGCACUCUAGUCAAUCCAAAAUAAUAUCACAAAAUGACUUUAACUGGUGCCCCACUCUUAAUCUUUUACCUAGUGGUGAUAAUCAUAACAUGUUAUCCAUACUAUUCGUGAAAGGUAAUGGGAAGGAAUCUUUCUUCGUGGCCAUAUUAAGUUUCUGGAAAUCCUGAUAAAUUCGGAUUUUUCCAUUCUUUUUUGGUACCAUCAUAAUUGGCGACACCCAUGCACUAUGCAGAACAGGAUAAAUAAAAUCCACAUUGAAAAGUUUAUCCAAUUCUUCUUUCACUAAAAGAGAAUAUUUUAGGUUAAGCCGGUGUUGUCUUUGACAAACUGACAUAACACCCUCCUCCAAAAUAAUCUGGUGCUCACACACAUCAACUGGAAUCCCUUUCAAAUCCGCAUAUGACUACGGAAAGGUAGAUUUGUGAUGGACGAAAAACUGUUUUGAAGCAUCCAAUUCUGUACCUAUAAUGCCGAUAUAUAUUUUAAUUAGUUGUGGCGUUUUGUUGGUGCCCAGGUUAAUGGAUUGACAUAUAGGGUCUUCAACAAUCUCUGAUUUAAUUGUCUUCUCCAGAACUGAAUAUCUUGUAUUAUUCGACAUAUGGAAACCACCCAAAUCUGGUUCUAAUAUGCUGACUCUAUUGACUUCAAAAUUAUUCAUCCAUUUGAUAAUAGUAUGAUACGAGUUAGUCGUAUCUUCUUGAUGUAGUAAAUAUUCACCAGGAUCUCCACAUUGGUAGACUCCUGCCUUUGCUGUUGAAGUAUUUUUUCCUACCUCAAAUUAUGGUGAACCUAUAGCAUUGACAUCUUUCUUAAUCAAUUGACUCUUGUUGUCCGAUAUAAAUUCUGAUUCUGGCAAUUGAGAUUCUCGAUGAUAUUGUACCAGAUACAUCUGUAGAAUAAUCUAGUCACGACCUUUUUCAAUUGUCAAUGUGCCUCAGCCCCAAUCGUUCUUAGAUUUGGCUUGAUAAAGCCAAGGUUCACUCAAUAAAAUGGGAUACGAUAAUGUAGAACUCUGUAAUCGAAAUAUAAUAUAAUCGAUUUUGUAUGUCAAUCUCGUAAUUACAAUGGCAAUAUUUUGUAAGAUUUCUAUUGGCUUUAUCCAACUAUGAUCUGUUAUUCGUAAGAUCAAUGUCGUAGGUAGCAAUUCCUUUAGAUCCAAGUCCUCCAUUGUAUCCACGUUCAUUAAAUUCACACUGGAGCCACCAUCGACGUGUACUCCUGGAAUUAAAACGCCAUCAAUUGAUACAUCGAUUGUUGGUGCUCCCGGAUCUGGGUUUAAGCUAACUUCAUGAAUUUCUUUAGUGCAGGAUCUUCGUCAUAUAAGCGCUAAAUUCAAUGUAGAUCGAUAUUCUAGUACUACAGCCAAAAGUUUCUUCAUUGUAAUUGAAGGCUGAAUAAUAUCUAAAUCCUUCAAAAUGUCAUAGGGUUCCAUAUUGAGAGUAAUUUUUAAUGCUCUUUUGUAUUUCAUUGGUUUCGAUUUUACUCCGUUCGGCAGCAAUUCCUUCUUAGCGAUUGGGAUUGCCUCUGGUAACUUUACCAACUUUUCUACCACUAAAGGUUCCUUUAAUGCGUAAGAUCUUUUAUUGAGCUGUACAGGUAUUGGUAGUUGGUCAGUUGGGAUCGUUCUAGAUGGUCCCGACAAAUUGGCACGUGGAACCGAAUUGGAUUCCUCAGUUUAUUGAGGUCUCAAUAUUGAAAUAUGUCCCAAUACUGAUAUUGGUUUGUUUAGCCCCGUGGAUGGUGCUACUUGCUCUCCUGCGAUUGAUUCAUCCAAGUCCUGAAUUAGAUUCUUGUCUUUUUUUUGGCCUCUAGUAAGCACUGCAUUCACCACCUCGACAUGAUGUACUGAUGAGUCUCGUUGAACAGGACCUUUGUCCUCCGUCAGUUGACUUAUUUAUAUUUGCUGGUCCCGAUUAUUAUAAUUAAAGGGCGUAUUGCACUACUGAUAAGUGUGACCAGAUUGCUUAUAAUUUCCACAUAUUGGAGCAUAGUCAUCACUAGCCCUUGGAUUAGGACAUUCACUCGCAUAAUGUCCGAUUUGUCUGCAACGAUAGCAACAAAGUGGUCUCCUACCAACUCCUUCAAGGAUAUUGGAUGUCUCUACUGGUAUAUAAUGGCUAGAUUUGUUCCAUGUCGGAUGAGUAAAGGAUCGUGGUUGACCCAUUGUUAGUGUAGACUCUGGCAUUAACUUCAUCAUAGGUAGAUAUUGAUGGUAUCUUGGUUGGUUCAUUGCCAAUCCGUGAGUAUUGGAUAUACCUUCUUGGUGAAAUUCAGAGUUUAAAAAAUUGGAAUAAUUCCUGUUUUAUUUAUUCACUCGAUUUCCAUUCCAACCAAACCUAUUAUUCAAUUGUACUUGAUUGACAUCCCACGAAGUUGUUUGAAUCAUUAUCUAGUUACUGAGUUGUUGUUACUUCCAUAAAUUCCAACAAUUGGUAGUAAUAUGCUUGCCCCCACAAAAGAUACAUUGUACAGUCAUUUAGGGAGAUGAAGGAUAUUUUGUUACUAAAUGACCUUGCUCCUUACAAUUGUUGCACCAGACAUUGGGAUGCAAAUUGGUUGGUUUAUACCUUUUUUCUUUAUCCUUGGCUAGAUUCACAACCAAUUCAUCCAUUUUUUUUGUCAAUGUUAACAACAAUGACUCAUUGGGAUCCCUUGAUACCAAUGCAUUUGGCAAUUCCUUUGUAGGUAUUGGUUUUUGAUAUGCGGAAUAAGGGACAUAUGAUUGUGAUGAUGAUGGUGGUAUAGCUUGCAAUAGAACAACAUCCACUAUUUCCUAUGGAAUUGUACCAUAAUCAUUCUUUCCUGGAUAACUUUCCGAUGCAUCAUUCCAAUUUGUCAUUUAAUAACCUCCUUGAGAUGGAAUCAUCAUGGCUCUAACUGUUAAGUUUUGGUCAUAGUGACAUUCCUUCCAUACUUUUGCUCACUCAAGAGAUGAUGCAAUGGUGGCUGAUAGGGCCUCCUUUACAAACAUCUUCAAUUAUGGUGGAUGUAGUCCAUUAAUCAAUAUGGACAGCACAAAUGAUUUUGGCAUUCGGUUAUUUGGCCAUUUUCGAAGUAAAUCUGCUAUGCGAUCAUAAUAUGAUUGUACCGCUUUCCUUGGUAUCAUUUUGCUGUUCAUUAAUUUUUCUCUAAGACGUUCUUCAAAACUAAUUGAUCAAAAAUGGGCUAAAAAUAUAUUUUUCAAUGCUUCCCAAUUCGGAAAUUGACCCACUGGUUGGCGGUUGUACCAUUCAAAUGCCGUGUCUUUUAAGGUCGAUGGCAGCCAUUACAACCAAAUAUCUUCAAUUCUGCCAUUAUUAGCUAUACAUACUAUAAAAAAUUGAGAAAAAUAUUGAUCGAGAUCCGCAUCUAAAAAUCCCCAAAAAGUAGGUAAUGGCACAACACUAAUCGUACGAUCGCCUACUGCACCCAUUUGUAGUACAAUCGAAAUGGUUGGUCCUCCUGACGCCAUUGAAUUUCUUGUUCUGCUAAACUCCAUUUUAAAAUAAUCUCUACUUUUUUUUAUUCUAAUUUCCAAGCUGUCAGUACUCCUUGAUUUACUGUUAUUAUCUACAAAUAGUUUUAUUGGUUGAAUUACAGGUGAAAACGUCAGAUUUUGAAAUACAAUAUAGUUAUCUUUAUUGGCAACUAAUUUGUGCCAAUCUGAAGAGCCACUAUUGCUCGUUUCAACAAUACCCCCUAUUAGAAAAAUACCCAAUGGAGUACCAAAUUCUUCUACGCCUCCUUCUCUUUUAGUUAACGGCCUCAAGAUUUCUACUGGAAUGUUAACAAAAUUUUCCAUGAGUCUUCUUGAUAGUUUUUCUAAUGGUACAUACGACUGAAGAAUUGACAGUCUGUCCAGUUCUUGAUAUGUUUGGAUGCGUCAACAAGCUUGCAACCAUGGUUUAAUCCAAUUUCAUCAAUGCUUCUUUUUAAGAUUACAUUCUUGCUCCUCUCUAAGCAAGUUCCUUCCUUGCGCUCUUCCCUGUCUUUCUCUCAACUGAUUUAUUUUCCUCAAUGCAAUGCUCUCAUUCUUAUUAACCAUAAUCUUGCUUCAAAUAUUACUAAAAUCGUCUUCCAUUACCAAUUUUCUCACACGUUUGGUAAUUAAUUCCUAACACUCAAAGCUAUUAUCACUCCUUGGAAGCAGUGCCAAAAUGUGAUUGCUCGUUUUACUUAUUCCAAAUUAAUCUGAUGAAAAUAAACUCAUAUAGGGGGAUUCAAACAUGGGGAAUGACUAGUUGCUUAAGCGUUCACAUUAGGAUCACAUAAUCAAUUACCUCCUGAAUGUAUCAUCUCUAUUUUCAAUAUCUAAACACACAAGGAAACUAUAAUCUCUUCCUUCACCUUAUCGGUCUCUUCCUUAUAAUAAUUUAGUCAUACCAAUAACUGCUAUUUCCACCAAUAUAUUCACCCUCAUAAUCUCCAACUAUAAUAUUGUGCCCUCACAUCUUUCAGCACACAAUUACCCUCAUUCCAAUCACUGAAAUUCUUCACACAGAACUGCCAUUCACAUUAGAAUGUUUCACACAAACACAGACUCAUUCUCUCUAGUGAACUACAAUCAGAUUUUAGCAUUCAAUCUUUCUUCUUCUCAAAUAAUACCAAUCACAUUUCUAUUCCAUAAUUCACUUCACAAUAUUUUGAAACUCUCAAUUCUCAUAUUCAAAUAAAAUAACAAACAAAAGAAAAGAGGUAGCACCAAGCUUAUCCCGACUCACAACUAUCAUAGCGAUGGCUUUUUCUUCCCCUCUUCCAUCCUCCUUAUACUACCUCGAGAUACCAACUCCUAUACUACAGUUAAUAACUAUUUUUCUUGACUAUUCAUCCAUUCUACUUGCUGAACCACCUUUUCAACAAUUAUCUAUCCAUGUUUACACUAUAUACUAGGUAUCUUCAUUAUGUAAAAUAACUACUUAUUCUACAGUGGUUUACACUUAGAUGACUACCCUAAAUUCUUUUCAGAAUGUUCCAUGGUAGAUCCUACUUGGUCCACUAAUCUAAUUUUAAUUUUACAAACUUUGAUAACUUCUCAAAUUAAGUUUUAAUUAUCUAGCUUUAUGUAUCAAUAAUACAAAUAUCUUAUUUAUGCUUUGUUAUAUAGAUAUACUUUUGAAGAAGAGAUGAUGGUAUAUAAAAGAGGUAAAGAUUAAAACGAAAAGAGCUAUAGAAAUUCAUUUGUUAGUGGUAGAAUAGAUUUUGGUGAUGAGGUUCAAAAUUUCUAUGAAGGUUUAUAUGAAAGUAAAUUAAAAAUAUAUAUAUAUAUAUAUAUAUAUAUAUAUAUAUAUAUAUAUAUAUAGAUAUAUAUAGAAAUAUAAAUUUAUAAGAAUUUAUUUAGAUACAAUGAAGAAAAAAGAAAGAUGGAUGGAUAAAACCUUCAAAGAUAUUAGAUACCAAUUCUAUGGUUAUUUCCUUAAAGAUAGGCUUUUAUAGAAGAGGCCAAAAAGAAAUGACAAAAUUCUAUUGAGAGUAAUACAAGAUCUUAAAAUUAAAUUUUAAAUUUUAAAAGAGUAUCAUGAUACACUUUUGGCAAGACACAAAAGAAUUUGGGCCACAUAUACCAAAAUCAAAGAAAGAUAUUAAUGAAAAGGCUUACACAAAGAUAUAGAAGAUUUUUUGAGCUCAUGCAUAGAGUGUUAAUUAUAAUCUAAGAUUAAAUAUAGAAAUGGAUUACAUCUUACUUAUCUAUCUUAUAUACAUUUUCAAUGAAUAAUUGAUUUGGUAGCUACACUAUCAAAACUUUGAGAUAUGAAAUACUUAAUUUUGACAAGAAAUUAACUAUCAAAUUAUGUUGAUGGGAGGACUUUAAUAACUAAGAUUACAAAAGCAGUAUGUAGAUUUAUACUAGAAGAUAUCUUCAAAGAUAGAAAAUUAUUGGAAAGAUGAGGGCUAAUAGAAGAAAAUUGGAUACUAUGGAAGCAAGAAAAAUUUUCAGUAGAUAUAGAAUUCAAUUGAUAUAGAAUUCAAUUAAAUUUGACUAUUUUUUAUAAUUUUAAAGGCAAUGAAAAGAGUGAAAGAAGUCAUCUUCCUAUCAUUUAUGCAUUAAUUAAGGUAUAUAAAGAUAAGCCAAUUCAAUAGCCUAAAUUACUUCCAUUUUCUUUAUGGACUGAUAGAACUACUUACAGUACUAUCACUAAUUAUAUGCCUAUGGAAUUAAUAUUAGGACAAAAAUCUAUUAUGGUAGCUAAAGAAACCUAUCCUAUAUAGACAUUUCUAUUUUAGAAAUAUAAUAUUAAUAAAAAAAUAUUAUUAGAGCUUUGGAUCAAGUAAUUGAGAAUGUUACCUAAAGACUUACAAAUUUCAGCUUAGAGGUUAAAAGGAGCAAUAUUGAAAAAUAUAAAAAGAUUUGAUAGAAGUCAUAUAUUGAAGCCUAAGCAUAUAGAGAUUAGAGAUUGGAUUCUAGUUUAUAAUAGUAGCUUUGAACAUCAAUAUAACAUUGUAAAGAAAUUUAUAAAAAAUUGAUUUGGACCAAAUGUGAUAGUUAUAGUCGAUGAUAAUGCAACACAUAUCUUACAUGAGUUAAAUGGAGCUAUUAUAAGAAUUCCAAUAGUAGAGAAGAUAGUAAAGGUUUUCAAAAGAAGAGAUAGGCAAUUCAAAAUAGAUGAUCUUGAAGAAUUUUUAUUUUAAUAUUUAGUUUAAGAAUAUAAAGUAAAAGAAUCUAUAAGUGUUUCAAAGAAAUCUGAAGAAGAUGAAGAGGAGUAGCACUUGAUACAUAUCCGACAAUAUACAGGUUCAAAAGAGAUAAAUUUUGUAUUAUAAUUUUUAAUAGUAUAUAAAAAUUAAUUAAAACAUAUAAUAUAUUUAUAAGUAUUGAUGUGUAUUAGAGUAGUUAGUAAAUUAAUUUAAAUAGAAUUGAUAUAAAAAAAUUUAUUUUAAAGUUUAUCAAUUUUUAUUAUAGCAUUUAAAUUAUAUAAGAUUUAGAUAUUUAGUAUAAAAUUUAAAGAAAAAAUUGUAGCUCAAAGAUAAACAUCUAAACUUUUAAAAAACUCAUUUAGAAGGAUGAAAGUAAGAUAUGGAUGGAUGAAGAUAAGGAAUAAAUAACUUCAUCUUUAUUGAUUAAAAAUCAUGCCUAAUAGGCUCUCAAGAGGCUAUCUACAACCAUAGUAAGGAUUUUGGUGACUUCAAAAGGAGCACUUGAGAAUUAGAAGCAAGGAUCAUAAGGUUUAGAAUUUGGACUAUAAUUUGUGUAAAAAAGUUAUAGAAUUUGGAGUUAGGGUUAUGAAGUUAUAGUUGUUUGAAGUUAAGGUGUCUUUUUAAGACAUACUUUUGUUCUUUUGAGGUUAUAAUGAAUUUUACAAUAGCUUUUGGAGUUAAACAUGUGCGACUACAAGAAUGAUUUUAAAAUCUACAUCUUUUAUGAAAUAAUUUUUGUAUUUAAAGUUUAUAUGAAGGAAUUAUUGAGCAUUGAAGAUAGCAUAUGUAAUUCAAAGAGAGUAAGUGAUUUUAUUGAUAGUAAUGGUUGGAGCCAUAUCUUGAAUUUUUAGACAAAUAUUUGGCUCAAAAUUUCCAAAAUAAUAUAUUAUUAGAUUAAAAAGCAAUAUAUAAUUUUUUUAUGAUAUAUAAGUAUUUAAUUUAUGAUAUAUUAAGAAAAUUAUACAUGGGUAUGUAUAAAUAAGGAUUUAAAGCUAAUAUUAGGAUUUUGGUGAUAUUUUAAGUUUCAUAAUCAAUUUGUAGUUGAAUUUGUUGUAGUAGUUGUUGAGAAUAUAUCAAUACUUCACAUAAAAUUUUAGUUUCUUUGAACAAUCUAAUCAUGAGAUAUAAACUGUUGAAAUUUAAGAAGUUUUUACUUUAAGAAUAUAUAAGGAUUUAGAAUGUUUUUGUCACAUUUUGGAUGAUUUUUGCUACUUAAAACUUACGUAUUGAUAUAAUUGGCUCUAUAGAAAAAAAAUUAUCUAUAAACUUGGUAUUUUUCUAUUUUAUCACUUAGUUGAGCAAUUAGUGAUAGCCAAAAGUCCAUUGCUUUCUUAAAGCAAAUUCUCUCUAUCCAAAAACAGAUUUGUUAUAUGAACAUAAUAAAAAAUCUAUAUACAAUAAAAUAUAAAAGAUCUUAAAAACUUAUGUAUUUUUGUUAAAAAGUUACAUAAAUCAUUCAUCCUCUCAAUUGCAUCAAUUUUAUUUGGAUUCAAUUUUAUUCUAUAAAAUCCACCCAAAUGUCUAACAAUAAAAACUUCUCAUAUUUCAAAUAUAGAUUUUGCUUCCAAAAGUGUAACAUGAACUUUUUCAAUUUGAUAUAAAAUCUUUUUACAAUCUUGUAUAUAAUCAACAAUACACUUGUAACACCCUUACUAAUUUACAGUCUUAUUUUUUUUCUUCUUUACAUCCUUUAAUAGAAAUAUUAUCUAAAAGAUAUAUAAUUUUUUCAAAAAUAAAGUCUCUUAAUAUCUUGUUCAUUCCAUUCAUUAUAUAUGCAACUAAGUUUGCAAUAUCUUAUAAAAGAAUACAUAUUUUAAGUAAUUCAAAUAAUAUUUUUAUUAUUUUUAGAUUUCUACUUCUAUAUAUAUAUUAAAAUUGAUUAUAGUCUAAAUAUAAAUCAUUCAUUAAAUAAAUUUUCUUUCCUACAAAUGCUUUAGCAAAUACAUCUAUUAAAAGUCCUAUACUUGUAUUUCUAAUAGUUACUACAUUUAUUAUCUAAAUAUCUUGAAUAAAAUUAAUAAUCCAUUUUUUUAAGUACCAUAAAUUAAUGAUUAAAAUACAUAGUAAUAGAAUACUUUAAAAUCUUCAUUUGGAAUUUUUUUUCACUAAUUCUAUUAAUUUAUGCAAAUAUUUCCUUGAUAAAAGAAUUAAACUUAAGUUCGAAGGUAUGUGUGAAAUUUUAAAGAUAACCAUAGGAGCAAUAAUAUUGGAAUCUAAACAUCUUAUUUCAUGAGAUCCAAAAAUAAAUGAUUUUUUUCAUUUUGCAAGCAUUUUUUUAAAAUAUUCAAUUUUUACUAAUAACUAAAAACUAUCACAUUCAAUCUUUACUUCUUCCAAAGUCUCUUUUGUAAAUUUUUGUUCAAUAUUCUUUGAAUUUCUUAAAUUGUUUCCUUUGAUGCUUCUUUGUCAAGGACAAGAACUCAAUGAAAAAACAAUCCAGUCAAGUGAGCCUUCAUUCAAAGAAAGGUAAUAAAAUAUAAAUAAAUAAGUAUGUAUAUUGCAAGAGAAACUAGAAUGGCUAUUGCCGAAAGAUAAGAAAACUAGAGACCCUUGAAACUAGACUAGAAGUAAGAAAGGAAUUGACAAGAGUGAAGAAGGCUUCACUCUUGUCUCUAUAUAUACUAUCUAACUAGGUACUACGUGGCGACGUUCUAUAGGACCUCCAAUAUGUGUUAACUUUGUAGGACACAUGCCUUGACUUACAAGGCAAGUUUCUCUAUGUAUGGACCACAUAGUUAGCUUAAUCUUCAAGCUAACAACAUGUGUGGCACAUGGCCAACUUGUUGACCACGUUUCUAAUCCAAAAAGUCAAUUAAAGACACCUAUGAAGUCAAAGCAGCGUCUAUGAAGCUUCUAGAAAGCUUCCAUAUUAAAUACUAUAGAAUUAACUUACUUUUACCUAUUUUUACUUACUUCUACAUAUUUGUAUAUGUAAUUACUAGCUUACAUGAGUAUGUCCGUGACAUUACCCUCCCUUCUAGGGACGAGUUCCACGAGGAGUGGUCAUCAUAUGUUGAGAAAAUCUAUGAUGCGACGAAUUGUAUUUGCCACAUACUCUGAUCUUUAUUUUCUUGGAAGAUGAUUGAUAGGGCCUCUAAAUCAUCGGUAGUGUCCAAUACCAGGGCGGGAAGACCACCCACUUAUAUGAUCAUUGAUGAGGCCUUCAUAACUUCCUUCGAAUAAAACAUUUGGAACACCAUUGGGAGUUGUUCCUACCUCUAGCAAAAUCACCAAACAUCGGGAGUCCCUUCUCAAAUCGUGAUACCAAACACGUUAUAUCUCACCAUCUAUUCGAGGAAGAACAUGUCAUUCUUGAAGAUCUUCAUCUCGAUUGCGUCGUCUUGAAGGUUGUGACAAUCAUAAAGUCUCAUCAAGCAGGUCAGCAAAUGAAGGCACUUGAGUCAAAUCCAUUGGUUCUAGGUGCUAUAUCUCCUGAACGUCACAACUAUAAAGAAGCUACAAACAAGGAUUGAAAGUAGAAUGUUAUCUUGCAUAGAUGUUGUUUCUUUUAUAAAGAAGAUUUUUAUCUUGAUUUUGAUGGAUGUCGUUAAUGAAAAGCCUCCACCGCCUUUGCUACAUUUACAAGAUUCUUUAUUGGCUUCCAUGUGCAUUCACUAAUACCAUAUCCGCGCCAAUGGACAAGAUAUUCCAAUUUAUUUCGAUGUCGCCUUGAAUCUAAGACUUCUUCUACUUCAAACUCUUCAUUAUUGUCCACUUCUAUAGGAGGAGGUGGAGCUUGCCGUCUUCUUGGUAUGUCCACUGUCUUGUAUGGUUCAAGAAAAAAUACGUGGAAUAGUAGAUGGAUUUUUAUUGACUCUUGUAGAUGUAAACGAUAUGCAACUAGAUUGAUUUGUACAGAAAUAGAAAAUGGUCCCAGCCUUCGAUAGUCCAACUUGUCACAAGGACGAGUGGUCUUGAUAUUACGAUGAAGUAGCCAUACCUUAUCAUCUAAGAGGAAUGGUGGUUGUUCCUUUUGAUAAACAUCCGUAUUGACCUUUUGUUGUUCUUGAGCCUCUUUUAACUGCGCUUUUAUCGUUGCAUGUAGCUCUGCUAAAUGAAUCACUAAAUCUUUCGCAGCAGGAUUAUCAACUUUUGAAAAGUCAAAAGUAUGAAGUUCUCGAUGAUAACCAUAAUUAGUAAAGAAAGGUAUUUAUUUUGUAGAAAAAUGUACCGUGUUAUUAUAAGCAAACUCUGCCAAUGACAAAAGAGUUGUCCAAUCAUCUUGUUGGUAGUUAAUGAUACAUCUUAAAUAUUGCUCCAAAACUUGAUUAACACGCUCCGUUUGUCCAUUAGUUUGAGGAUGGAAUGUCAAAGAUAGUUUUAUAUCUAAUUUUAGAAUCUUAAAAAGAAACCACCAAAAACUUGAUAUAAAUUGAGUUCCCCUAUCUGAUAUAAUAUCCUUGCAUAAUCCAUGAUAGCGAUAGAUAUUGUUAAGAAAGAGCUUAGAUGUUUCUUCACCUAUAAUAGAUUUUGUACAUAGUACAAAAUUUGCCAUCUUGGUAAAACAAUCUACUAUCAUGAAUAUAGAAUCAUAAGAAUCUAAGAUUAGAAGAUCUGUGAUGAAGUCCAUAGAAACAUAAGACCAUGGUUGUUCUGGAAUGGGUAAUGGUUGAAGAAGUCCAAAAGGUCGGUUAUAAGGAGUUUUUGAUCUUGAACAAACAUCAUAUGAUUGUACAAAAUCUUUGACUGCCUUCCACAUUUGAAGCCACCAAAAAUCCCUAGAUAUCAGCUCCAAAGUCUUAUUAUAUCCAAAAUAUCCUACUGUUGGGAAGUCAGGCCAAGCUUGAAGAACACAUAAAAGUGCUUCUCCUUCUGAAAUAUAUAGGUGUCCUUCAAAAUAGAGUAGGUUAUUUUUGAAUUCAAAUUUAGAAGGAUCAUGAGAUUUAGAAGAAUUAUUCUUGAUAUCAUGAACAAGAGGGUCUGAAGUCAUACUUAACUGAACUUGCUUAAGAAAAGUUAAAUCAAUCAUCAAUGUUGAUUUUAUUGCUCGAAGAUGAAAUUACUUUGGCUUCAGGAGAACCAUUCUUUGUUGCUCAAAAGCUGCAUCUCCUUCUUUUGGUGCAAGAUAAGAACGUCUAGACAAGGCAUCGGACAAACCUUGUUGUUUUCUUGGCCGAUAAGUGAUGAUGAACUCGAAUCUUGAUAAAGACAUGCUCCAACGAGCUUGGCAAUGAUUUAAUACACGUGUUGACAUAAAAUAUUCGAGGUUCUUGUGAUCCGUAUACAUGGUGACUGGAUUGAAAGCGCCUUCUAGAUAAUAAUGCCAUUCUUGAAAAGAAUCCACAAUUACAAGAAGUUCUUUCUCGUGGAUCUCAUAAUUGAUUUCUGCUAUUGAGAAUUUUCUUGAAUGAAAGGCUACUGGAUGAAGUUUGUCAUCUGUUCCCAUUUCUGAUAAAACCGCACCCAGAGCAAAGUCUGAUGCAUCUGUUUCCAUAAAGAAUGCUUUGGAAAAAUCAACAGGAUACAAGAUUGGUGCAGAAACAAACGUUGUCUUCAAAGAUUCAAAAGUAACUUCUGCUUCUUGAUUCCAUUGGAGUUUGUCUUUACAAGCCAAACGUGUAAGUGGAGGUGCAACUCAAGAGAAGUCUUUGAUAAAGAUCGGAUAGUAGAUGACAAAUCCCAAAAAACAUUAGACAUCUCUUACCGUUUUUGGGAUCUUCCAGUCUAUAAUAGUUUGAACUUUCUUAGGAUCCAUCAUAAGUCCAUCAUUUGAAAUGAUGUAAUCUAAAAAAUUGACUUGAGUAGUAAAGAACACACACUUUUCUAUCUUAGCAUAGAGUCUUGCAUCUCUUAAUUUUUGUAACACAUGAUGAACAUGAAUUUCAUGUUCUUUUGGAUUCUUAGAAUAGAUCAAGAUGUCGUCUAGAUAACAGACCACAAAAUCGUCCAAAAACUUUCAAAAAACAUCAUUCAUUAGAUGUUGAAAAGCUGCUGGUGCAUUUGUAAGUCCAAAAGGUAUGACGUUGUAUUCAAAAUGUCCAUACCUAGUUUGAAAUGCAGUCUUCCAUUCAUCUCCUUCUUUGAUACGUACUAGAUUGUAUGCUCUUCGAAGAUCUAUUUUUGUAUAGAUCUUAGCUUAUUUCAACUGAUCAAGAAGUCUAGAUAUUAAAGGUAGUAGAUACUUAUUCUUGAUGGUAAUCUUGUUGAGUCCUUGAUAAUCAAUACACAUCCGCAAUGAUCCAUCUUUUUUCUUCACAAAUAGAAUUGGAGCUCCUACCGGAGAUUUAGAAUGGCGUAUGAAAUUCUUGGCUAGAUUUUCUUCAAUAUACUCCUUGAGUUCAGUCAACUCAUUUUGUGAUAAACUGUACAUUGGUCUAAAUGGGGGUUGUGCUCCUUCUUGAAGGUCAAUUGAGUAAUCAUAGGGAUGAUGUUCCGGGAGUGUAUCCACAUUCUUUUUUUCAAAUACAUCUUGAAAUUCUUGAUAUUGGCUAAGAAUGCGACUUGAAGUCUUUUCACCAGUAGGAAUAGGUGUGGUAUAAAUAAUAUAUAGUGAUUCUUUCAUAGCAGCAUGUAAGAAAGCUUUUGCACCUAUAAAUAAGAGUUUAAUUGAAUUACACUUAUGACUCUCUACUUGAUUAACUACACUGUUAGUUAUACUUUUAGAGAAAGUAAGAGUUCGGAAAAUCCAAUCUAUUUGAGGGUUGUAUUUUUCUAACCAUGAUAAACCUAAAAUGACUGGAUUAGAGGGAGAUCUAAUGAUAUUAAAUACUACAAAACUAUUAUAAUCAUUGAUUAUUACUUCUAUAGGAAAGGUUUCGUGAGUAAUAUCUCCAGAAGACAAUGGACAACCAUCUAUGACUUCUACAUGAAUAGGUUUAGUUUUCUUUACUAAAUUUAUGCUAUGUCUUUUAGUAAAUUCUUCAUCUAAAAAAUACACUCAAGCUCCCGAAUCUAACAAGACAGAGACUUUUUAAUGUUUAUGUCCUAAAAUAAUAUUUAAUUUAAAACAAGGAGAGGGCUCUAAAGAGAGAAUAGGACCUUUAUUAGAUGUUGUGCAAGGUUCCAGCCGCACGGUCCCUAUUGUAGCUGGACAAAUUUGUUUUCCGACAUAUUGUCUUCUUUUACAGCCAUACUCCUCAUUUUGUAAUUACGUCAUUUUUUUGGACAAUGUUGAGCAGUGUGCUUUGGUUCUCCACAAUAUAAACAUAAUCCUUCUUGACGACAAUGAGUCUUUUCUUACUCAGUAAGAGGUUUGAAAUGUACUACAUCAAUUUGCAUAUCCUCUACUUCCGAAUGUAUGUGUUGAAGAGGUGUUGGUGUUGCCAUUGAAUUAUAGUAACGUUGAAGUACACUUGUACGGUUCUUAGAUCGGAAUUCAAAAAGGCGAUUGUCGCACUUCACAACAAAGUCAGUUACUUGACUCAAUGUUUGAAGAUCAAGUAAGUUGAGCAUUAAUUUUUUUACCUCAUAUUGUAAUCCAUAGAGAAAUUGGCUAAUAAGUGCAGUAUCAUCUCAUUUGAUAUCAGUUGCAAGUUGUCAAAAUUGUGAAGCAUACAUUAUUACUAAUUAUUUGCCUUGUCGUAAAAUACGGAUCUUAUUGGUUGCAACACAAAUUGCAUCAUAUUCUCCAUACAUGAAUCAAAACUCUAUCAAAAAAGCCUCUAGAUUAUUCAAUAUUAGAUCUUGUCGUUCAAAAAAAGAUGAAAACCACAAUAGUACUAAAUCUAAAAGAAGCGUAUCAAUGAAUCUAACUUGCGAUCUUGGAGUUGGAUAGCUUUGGGAUUGAAAUUCAAUCAUAAGUUACACUGGAUUGAUAAAUCCUCGAAACUUGGAUUUGAUGCCAUCAAACUUCUCGGGUAGGGCAAUUCUUGGUUCUCUAACACUAGAAGGGCAUUCCACCAUAGAAAAAAGGACAUGGUUUGGUGGAGAUGUUGAAGCAGCUCCAACCAUUUCUAUAUCUUCACUUCCUACCAAUCUUGUUGCUCCUUGUGGUGGUAAUCUGAGUUGAUGCAUCGUAAGCAUUAACUCCCUCAAUCGCUCUUGCAUUUGUGCCAUUGCAUUCUUCAUUUCAACAAGUUCUGCCAUGAUAACACUUAGAAAAGAGAAGAUGUCUAAUAUCGCUCAAGACAAAUAGAAGAGAGGACUUGAGAACAAAGAAAAUACUAAGGACGAUAUCAGUUUAGAAGAGGGUAAUCCGUAACUUCUAAUAUGCUUAUAUCUUAUCAAGAAAAAGGGGUAAUCUACUCUUAAUCAAGAUUAGAUAAAGCUCUGAUAUUGUAGGUUUACUCUUGUCAAUCUGUCAAAGACAAGAACUCGAUGAAAAAAAAAUCCAGACAAGUGAGCCUUUACUCAAAAAAAGGUAACAAAAUAUAAAUAAAUAAGUAUGUAUAUUGUAAGAGAAACUAGAAUAGCUAUUGCUAAAAGACAAGAAAACUAGAGACCUUUGAAACUAGACUAGAAGCAAGAAAGGAAUUGACAAGAGUGAAGAAGGCUUCACUCUUCUCUUUAUAUAUACUAUCUAACUAGGAGCUACGUGGCAACGUUCUAUAGGACCUCCAAUAUGUGUUAACUUUGUAGGACACAUGCCUUGACUUACAAGGUAAGUUUUUCUACGUAUGGGCCACAUAGUUAGCUUAAUCUUCAAGCUAACAACAUGUGUGGCACAUGGCCAACUUAUUGACCACAUUUCUAAUCCAAAAAGUCAAUUAAAGAUACCUAUGAAGUCAAAGCAGCAUCUAUGAAGCUUCUAGAAAGCUUCCAUAUUAAAUACUAUAGAAUUAACUUACUUUUAUUUACUUUUAUUUACUUUUACUUACUUCUACCUAUUUGUAUAUGUAAUUACAAACUUACAUGAGUAUGUCCAUGAAUUUUUUUUAUUUGUUCUAUAGAAUCUUCUAAUAAAGAUUUAACAACAAAUUUAUAUUUUUGUAUAUUCUUUUAUAUUUUAUCCCUACAAUAACUUUUGAUAGGUAAAAAGAUUCAAGUAUAGAAUAAACUUCUUUUGAAUAAAUUUCCACAAUCUUAUCAUCAUAUCCUAAUUCAAUAGAUACAAUUAAUUCCAAAAAAAUUCAAUCCAAUUUUUUCAUAAACACCUAAAAUCUUCUCAUCAUCUUUUAAUAUUUCUAACCUAUAUAAUUCUUUAUCAAUAUCAUAUAUUAUUUCUCUUUCUUUUCUUUUUAAAUCCUUAAUUUUCUUAUGAAUAAUACUUUCAUUUUUAAAAAUGUCAAUAAAACUUGCACCGAAGGCACCUACAUCUUAUAAGAGUAUUGUUUUUUUUGUAUCUCUAUUAUUCCAUUUUACAAUGCUACUUCUUCAAAAUCCUUAAAUUCUUCAAUAAUUUUCUACAAUGGUUUUUCUCUCAAUCUAUCUUGAUUUUGUUUGUGAUUAAGAGGCAUAUUUAGAAAUUAUACCACUUUCCUUCCAUCUUUACUAUGCAUUCGUGCAUAGGCUAAAGUAUCAUUAAAUAUUUUUAUUUCCAUCAGUGUUGCUAAAAAAUAUGGUUAUUUUAAAAUCAUUAGAUAAAAUGUAUCUUGAACAAAAUAAUAAUGCUCUAUUAUAAAAUCUUUAAUCUGGAUUUUAAUAUCUAGACAAGCUCCAUAUAAUUCAUUUUAUAUUUUUUUAGCUACUUGUAUUAUCCAUCUAUAUUUUAUUUCAAUUGAUCACCUCCGUUUCUUAUAAAGAUCCUCAGAUAUAAGAUUUAUUUUAGAACCAUAGUCAACUAAAGCAACAACCAAUUCUUCUAUAUUUUCUACCUUCACUAAUAUUUUUAUAGUUGUCCUUGUCCAAUGCUUUUGAAUAUAAUGGCUUAAAGCUUUUAUUUACUUGUCACUAUAAUUUUCAAAACAUAUUUUUUGAUUAUAUUCUAUUUAUUUUACUUAUUGAUUGCUUGUAACUAUUAAUAAUCUUUUCUUUAUCUUUGUAUAUUCUUGUAUCAAUAACAUGACUCAUUGCAGCUUCAUCCAUUAAUUGUCUCUUUUUUUUAAUAUUGUCAAUAAUAAUAUCAUGAAACUCCUUCUUUAUAAUUCUUAAAAUCUCUUUAAAUAUAAACUCCACUUUAGAAUUUUAUACACGUUAUUCUAACACUACUUUGAAAUCUAUUGUUUUUUUAAUAUCAAAAAGUAAUUUAUAAGCUAUAUUGAUUUAUCUUUAUUAUUUUUUUUUUUCUAUUUCUUUCAAUAUUAUUGAUGUAUCUUUUUUAGACAAUUCUUAUGAAGCUGCCUCAUAAGCCUUAUCUCUUUAAAUUUGUGUCUUAGAAGAAUUUUUUUUUCUUGUAUCAUCAAAAUUUUCUUGUCUCUUUUCUCCUAUUAAGGCUUGAUGUUUGCUCUUAGUAAUAUAUGCAUGAACUAAAAUAGCUUCUAUAAGAUCUUUCCAACAUGUUGCACCACAUAUUAUAGCUACAAUUUUUAAUAAUACUUUUGGAGUUUUUAUUUUUUAUUUUUUUAUAUUAUGCAAAUAAAAAAAAGUCUAAAAUCCACUUCUCUCUAUACUUCCAUCAAAGUCAUUAUCUACUCUAAUACAAUAACUUGUAGCUUUUUAUAUUCUUAUUUUAUAUACAAUUAAAUAAUCUUGAAUCAAUGCUUUCAUACCUACCUUAGAAAAAUUGGUUUAAAAGAAUUUCCUUAUAUCUUUUAAUACCACCUUUUCAAUUUUUCAAAAAAUAACUUCUUGUUAAAUCAUAUCACUAAAUUCAUUGCAAUCCUUCUUAAUAUGAAAAGCAUCAUCAUACCAAAUAUAUCUUUGUAUAUAUCUUUUUUUAGAAGUAACUUUCAAAUUAUUUAUAGAGGUCUUUUCUUCAAGUCUUGUUAAUUUGAUUUCAAGAUUCUACAUGAAAUUUUCUUCAAACUUCACAAAUUAAAUAUUCAAAUAUCAUAAAAAUUUUAUAUACAAUUUUUUAACCUAAUAACUCAUAUUUUUAAAAAAUUUGAACCAAAAAUUUGUCUAAAAACUCAAGAUAUGUCUCCAAUCAUUAUUAUCAUCGAAACAACUUACUUAAUACUUUUGAAUUACAUAUACUAUCUUCAAUGUUCUAUAACUCCUUCAUAAAAACCUUGAAUAUAGCAAUUUUUUUCCAAAAGACAUAGGUCUUAAAAUCACUCUUACAACCACAUCUUUUGAUCUCCAAAAGUUGCCAUACAACUUCUUGUAUCUUCAAAAAAGAAACCAUAUGCCUUAAAAGACACCUUAACUUUAAACAGCUAUAACUUCUUCAUCUUAACUCUGAGCCCUUUAAAUUUUUCACACAAAUUGUAGUCCAAAUUCUAAAUCUUACAACCUUUGCUUUUGAUUCUCAAAAUGUUCUUUUUGAAGUUACCAAAACUCUCAUUAUGAUUGAAAACAACCUCUUGAGAGCCUAUUGGAUAUGGCAUUUAAUCAAAAGAGAUGAAGGUCCUCAUUCCUUAUCUUCAUCCAUCUAUAUAUUGCUUUUAUUUCUCCAAAUUAGAUUCUUAGAAGUUUGGAUGUUCAUCUUUGAACUCCAAUCUUUUCUUUAGAUUUUAUAUUAAAUAUCUAAAUUCUAUAUAAUUCAAAUAUUAUAAUCAAAAUAGAUAAAAUUCAAAAUAAAUUUUCUUACAUCAACUCUCUAUAAAUUAAUUUAAUAACCAUUCUAAUAUACAUUAAUUUUUAUAAAUAUAUUAUAUAUUUUAAUUAAUUUUUAUAUUAUAUAUAUAAUUAUAAUAUAACAUCCACCUUCUCUGAACCUACACAUCUUUUUGUAUAUGCUACAUGCUACUCCUCUUCAUCUUCUUGAGAUUUCUUUAAAUCAUUUCUAAAUUCUUCUACUUCAUAUUCUUGAUCCAAAUAUUGAGAUAAGAAUUCUUCAAGGUCUUAUAUUUUAAAUCCCCUAUUUCUUUUCUUAAAAGUAUUUAUCUUCUUUCUUGCUACUGGAAUUCUAAGAAUAAUUCCAUCUCAUUCAUAUAAGAUAUAUGUAGCAUUAUCAUGGAUUGUAACUACUACACAUGGUUUAAAUCAUUUUUUUAUAAAUUUCUUUAUGAUGCUAUGCUAAUAUUCAAAGCUGCUAUUAUUAACUAAAAUCCAAUUUCUAAUCUCUACACCCUUAAGCCUCAAUAUAUAACUUUUAUCAAUUUUUUUUAUUUUUUAAUCUUGCUUUUUUUAACCUCUCACCUAUAACUUGUAGAUCUCCAAUUAACUUUUUUAAUUUUUAGAUCCAAGGCUUCAAUAAUGUUUUUUUAUUACCAUUACUUUUUCAAGAUAGAAACAUUUAUGUAAGAUAAUAUUUUUUCAACUCGCAUCAUAAAUUUUUAUCUUAAUAUUAAUUUCAUAGGUAUAUAAUUAAUUAUAAUACCGUAAAUAGUCUUAUCAACCUAUAAAGUAAAUAGAAGCAAUUUAGGCUAUUAAAUUAGAUUAUCUUUACAUAUCUUAAUCAACACUAUCGUAAUACAUGAAGUCUUGCUUAAGAAUGCUCCAAGCACCUGACUGUGGAAGGAAGAAUAGAAAUUGCAAUAACAAAAUGCUAAUUCUAAUAGAAUACUAACAAUGCUCUAAUUAAACCAUAAUAAUGCUAAGCAAGCUUAAUCAAAUUCAAAAAAAACCUAAAAGAAAUUUCAAACAAACAAUAGGAAUUCUUAAAGAAAUAUUAGAAUGAUCACAAAUAUCACUCAAAUGCAUCUCAAUUCAAUCUUAAUUUAAUUCUAGUUAAAAUCUUAUUGAACUUCAUUCAAACUUUAAGCCAAAACUAAUUGAAUCUUAAAUCCUAAUAAAAUCCUAAAUCCUAAAUCAAACCCUAAACAAACCUUAAACCAAACCCCAACCAAAUCCUAAAUCCUAAAUCAAAUCCUAACCAAAUCCUAAUCCAAAUCCUAAAUCCUAAAUCCAACCCUAAUCAAAUCCUAAACCCUAAAUAAAAUCCUAACCAAAUCUUAAACUAAACCCUAAAUCCUAAAUCAAAUCCUAACCAAAUCCUAAACCCUAAAUAAAUCCUAAACCAAACCCUAAUCAAACUCUAAACCAAACCCUAGUAAUUCCUACAACAAAUUUAAACCUCAAUAACUAAUGAAUAAACCAUUGAUCUUAACUCAAAUUUUACAAAUUUCUAAAAAAAUAAGUUAAAAACAAGAAAAAAAAAAUUAAAAAGGAUCGGAGUUACCAAAUUGAUGAUAACCUCAAAAAUGUGCUUGGAUAUUGGCCGGCCUCCUUCUCCAAUCUUGAUGCUAAUCUUCCAGAGCCAAUAUCUCUCUUUUGCACCAUUUAAUUGAUCUCAAAAUUCUUAUACAAAUAGAAAAUCAAGUCUAAUAUCUUCUCACAUAAGUUUCACUCUAAUCCAACUAGAAGAUUGCAAGAAAUCUUAAAAACCCCCACUAGACCUAAAAUUCUACUUUCUGAGACCUUGACCCAUUUUAACCUCAAUAUUCUUCAAUUCAACCAUUGGAUCGAGUUCAAAUUUACAAUAAAUAUUAAACACAACUAUAACCAUAAACCUACAAAAUUUCACUUGUAGAUCUAUUAUAGAACUCUUAAAAUCACUCAAAUCGUAAACCCUAUUUUAUUUCAUAAAAUCCAAGUCAUCCAAAACAAACCUUGACUUUGCAAAGCUCUUACAAAGUCAUAUCAAUUCCAAAUCACCCAAAAUCAAUGCCCAUAGAAACCCUAUCCAAUCUUCUCUCAAAUCCUACUCUCCAAUGUGCCAAAGAGUUCCGGAGUCGUUGUCGAGACUCGGUUUUGUGCCUCAAGGUCUGAUUUCGAUCUUGGUUCAUAACCGGCCCUCUCUGGGUAUCAACAUCUAGUUUUUUUUAAGUAAUUUUUACUAGAAUUUACUCUUAACUUUUUCUUAAAGAUUUCUAUAUCAUUUAUUUUUUUCAAUCUACCUUAUUUUGCCUUAUUUUUGGCCCUACAAAGUAAAUAGAAGCUAUUUUUUCUAAAAGAGCAGCAUUACUACUAAAAGUUUUACCACCUUCCUAUCUUUUAUCCAUAUUUUUCUACCUUUUCUUUUAACUUGACUCUUCUAUAAUAAGAUCCAUAUUAUCAUCUUUCACCAUAUAGUCAUGUUACAACAUGACAAUGCAUAAAUAAUAAGAAGAUAAUCCCUCUUACUCUUUUUAUUGGCUUUAAGAUUAUAAGAAGUUGUCAACUUUAGUUGAACUCCAUAUUUAUUGAAAAAUUCUCUUGCUUCAGCAACAUCCAAUUUUCUUCUAUCAACUCUUAUUUUUUCAAUGCUAUCAUAAUUGCUAAAGAUAUCUUCUAAUAUAAAUUUACAUACAGCUUUUAUAGUCUUAAUUCAAAAGGUACUCCCUUCAAUAUAACUUGAUAGUUCUUCUUCUAACAAAAUUAAAUAUUUCGUAUUUCAAAGUCUUAAUAGCAUAGCUAUCAAAUCAAUUGUCCAUUAAAAAUGUAUAUAAGGUGGAUAAGUAGGAUGUAAUCUAUCUCUAUAUAUAAUCUUAGAUUAUAAUUAAUAUUCUAUGUAUGAGCUCACAAAGUCUUCUAAAUCCUUGUAUAAGCCCUUUCUCUAAUAAAUUUCUUUGAUCUUAGUAUAUGUAGCCCAAAUUCCUUUGUGUCCUACUAAAAGUAUAUUAUAAUAUUCUUUAAAAACUUUAAAUUUAAUUUUAAGGUCUUUUACUACCUUCACUAGAAUUUUGUCACCUCUUUUUGGCCUCUUUCAUAAAAGCUCAUCUUUAAGUAGAUAAUUAUAGAAUUAGUGUCUAAUAUCUUUGAAGGUUUUAUUCAUCCAUCUUUCUUGCUUCUUCAUUGUGCUUAAAUAAAUUCUAAUAUCUUUUAUUUUGCCUUCAAAUAAACCUUCAUAGAAAUUUUGAACCUCAUUAUCAAAAUCUAUUCCACCACUAACAAAUGAAUUUCCAUAGCUCUUCUCUUCUUGAACUUCACCUCUUUCAUAUGCCAUCAUCUACUUUUCAAAAGUAUACUUAGCUCUAAACAAUAAAUCUGCCACCAAUUCUUUUUUAUUUGUAAUAUGUAUUAAAAUAAGAUUUAAUAUUCUUAUAUAUGCUAUCCAUCUUAGUAUGGUAAUAUCUAGAGUAGUGAAGUUAAUUAUCAUUCUAAAUAAUGGCAAAUAAUUUAUUUCUAAAACCAUAUUUGCUCCUAUCAAAUAAUUCUUCUCAACCUUUAGUAUGGUGAAUACUUUUUAAACCUCUCUUUUAAUUUGUGGAUAAGUCCUUUACUUCUUUGUAAGAACCUUGGCUCCAAAUAUUAUAGAAAAUCUUCUUUCUUCUACAUCAUCUUAUCCAAUACUCUAUCCAAUUAUUAUAGGACUUAUAUCCAUUGUUACAACUAUUAAUCUUUCACAUUGAUAAUCUACUUGUCUAAAGACUAGUGAGGAACUUAACAUCUUUUUUAGAUUUUUUAUAACUAUUUCUUGUUCUUCUUUCCAAACAAAUCUCUUAUCCUUCUUUAAUAACUUGUACAAUAGCUCUAAAAUAUGGUUAAAGUAAUACAUCCAUAUGUAAUAGAAUAUACAUACCCUUAAAAACCUUAUGGCUUUUAUAAUAUUUUUAUAAGCCUUCAUUCUAGAUAUAGCAUUAACUUUAUCAUGGUUUGAUUUUUUUACCAUAUCUACCUGACAUGUGUCCUAUUACUAGAAUCUCAUCAACUCCAAAGCUUGAUUUUUCCAAAGAUAAUGUGAAAUUAAUUAAUUCUAAUCUCUCCAAUAUCUUAGCUACAUCUUCAAUAUACCUUUUGAAAAUUGUUUUGCAACCUUCAACUUUGAUGGUCUCAUUCUUGUCUUCUUUUUUAUUUUUUUUAUAGGUAUGUCAUCCAGAAAUGGAAUGAUUUUUUCAGCCACAAAUUCUUUCAAUAUUUGAUUCAUAGUAUUUUGUGUAUGAGCCAUUGAAUUGGUUGCACCUUAAAAUAAAGUACACAUCUUCAUUAAACCUAAAAGAAUCUUUAUAUUGGUUAAAUCUCUACUCUCUUCAACCAAUCGAAAUUGGUUAUAUCCAAAAUAUAAGUCUCUAAUAGAAUAAAUAGUAUGACUUAUAAAUUAGUGAGCCACUUCAUCUAUUAUAAGAUCUAAUUCUAUAUUUUGAAUAGUCACUUUAUUUGCUAGUUGCAUAUCCUAAAUGAACCUUAAUGUCCUUGAUUUCUGAGAUACUAUGAACCAUCUAUUACAAUAAAGAGCAAUUGAAGGUUCCAAAAUAUCCAUCUUCACCUUUUCUUUUAAUAAUUCUAUCAAAUUUAGAAAUAAAGUUUUAGGCAUAAGUAGAGGCUUUAAAUCCCAUGGGACAUGUGGUACUAUAAAGAUUAUUGUAGUUACUAUAAUAGUUGAAUCUACACAUCCAAUUCCAUUAGGAAUUAACACAAAUAUUUUAUUAUAUUCAAAAAUUAUUUUUUAGAUCAUAUUUUCUUCUAAUGAUAUCAAAAAUUUACUUCUUCCAAUCUUCAGCAUAGCUAAUGAUUCUUCAGUAAACUUAUAACAGGGCAUGAAUUAGAUAAUUAUAUUAUUGAUGUACAAAAAUAGGUAAUUGGAGCCAUUUUUGGAUAGUUUUUAGAAGUUUUUAGAAUUGGGACUAAGUUAGUGGUCUAAGUCAAGCUCAAUAUAGAAUAUCCUAAAAAAACUAAAGGUGGUUAUCUAGAUGGGAACCACCUUUAGAAACUUUUAGCAAGGCAAUUUUUUUAAUAAGAUCCACCAUUAUGGACAUUCUAGAAAGUUUUUGUUAGGGACAUAGUCCUUAGAACCUUUUAGAGACAAGUUUCUAGAACCUUCUAGAGACAAGCUUCUAGAACCUUCUAGAAGCAAGUCUCUGGAACCUUCUAGAAGCUUCUUAGUUAGUAGAAGAUGUUCGGGACAUAGUCUUUAGAACCUUCUAGAGAUAAGUUUCUAGAACCUUCUAGAAGCAAGUCUCUAGAACCUUCUAGAAGCUUCCUAGUUGAUAGAAGUUGCUUGAGAAGCUUCCUAAAUAGGAGUAUAUAUUGGAAUCGAGGCUGAAGAGUUCUUCAGUCUCGACAACACAUCUCUUGGAGCUCUAGCUCGCCUCUCUGGUAUUGUUCUUGUAUUCAUCUGAUUAAUCUAGUUCUUGCCAGUUCUUCUUGAACUUCUUGGUAGAUAUCAAGUCUGUAUUUUGUGUCCGUGACAGUUUCAUGAUGAUUGGACAAAGUAUAAUUAGAACUAAUUGAGACCAUUUGGGACAUUCAAUCAGAUAUGGCUUUGGUUCUUUUUUUUUAAUAAAGUUUGAUUUUUAUUUUAUUUUUGUUUUUUUUCUAUUUUUUUUUCUUUAUUUUAUCUUUCAUAUUAUAUUCUAUUUAUUUUAUUCAAUUUUAUUCUAGUCCAUUUUGUCCUACUUUGUGAUGGAAUUUAUAUACCUAUAUAUUGAAAGGAUUUUAGAUCUUUAUGAAAAUUAAAUUUUAUUUCAUUGAUAUCAAAGCAAAUAUUAGUUUAUUCUUUGAUAGUAUAUUAAUAGCUAUUUUUUAGUUAGAGAUCUGUUAUUAAAGUUACACUAAUUAUUAUUUUGGAGCCACCAUGACUUACUUUUAAAAAAUCAAUUGGAAUGAUAGAAGGCAUUAUAGUAGCAAAGUUUGGCAAAGAGAUUGCAGCAUGGAAGAUAUAGUAGAGCCAUCCCAAACAGAGGCUCAAGUACAAUAUCUUUUAGACCAAAUAGCUACUUUGCAAAGAUAAAUAGAAGCUUUUAAGACAAAGGAGUUGACAUUUGCUAAGUUAAAAUUAAGCAAGUUCAAAACAUAUUCUGAAACUUCAAAGCAAUAAGAUGUAUGCCAAUGGCUCUUCAAUAUAUGACAAUACCUCCAAUUAUCUAGGAUAAGUAUCACUUAAAGAAUUAUGUAUGCACCUAGCUAUUUGAAAGAUGUUGCAGCCAUUUGGUAGUGACAUCAAGUUCAAAAUUAUAGAAUUCAAGGUGGAUUUUGUAACUAUGAGGAGUUUGAAACCUAACUUAGGAAUCAAUUUUGGUCCAUCAAUAUGAAGAAGUGAGCAUGCAAUUAAUUGACUAACUUUAUAUAAUUUAGAUCAAUACAAGAUUAUAUCUUCUAAUUUAAGUUUUUAUAUCUUCAAAUUGAUAACAUUUCAAAGACAAAGAUGAUAGAUCAAUUUAUAUUAGGAUUAAAACUUAUAGUUCAGUAAGAGGUAGAAUUAAAAGAUCCACAAAUAUUUGGAGAGGCAAUUAGAAUUGUAGAGAGGGUCAAUGCUAUAGAUUUCAAAAACCAUGGAACACAACCUGUAGAAAAAAUACUAUGCCACUAUCUAAUAUUAUAGGACAAUAAUCAAUGCCAAUGAAAAUUGAUUCCUUGCAAGAACUAUUGACACCAUAGAGAUGAUAAAUAUUGGUACAAAAGAAAUUGUGUUAUUAUUGUUGAGAGUCAAGCUAUCAAAUCUAAAAUUAUUUCAAGCAUCAAAAUUCAAGUAUCAACAAAUCAAAGUCGAUUUACAAUCUUGAUGUUCACCAAGAUGAUAAAAAAGUAGAACAAGGAAAAGGGGCUUCCUAGUGAAAGCACUAAAGGCUAAUACUGGAAAUAUCUGUUGUCUCUUAGAGACAAAUAGCAUGACCUUGAACAACUAUCAAAAGAGUCGAUUGAUAUGUCUAGUAGAUUAAUUAAGAAAAAAACUAUGUCAAGUAUUUAUAGAUUGUGGCUUUACAAAAAAUUAUAUUUUAAUUGAGAUCAUUGACUAAUUUGGAAUUAAAAUCAAAAUAAUAAAAAAGAAAUGUAUACCUAGGUAAUGACCAAGAGAACAUAUUAAGUGAUACAUGUGAAAAAAAAACCUUGAAGUUGAAUGAUACAUAUGCCUUAAGAGAGAAGUUUAAGAUAACAAAGCUAAGAUAUGAUAUUAUGCUUGGUAUACAUGGCUAGAGGUAGAAAAUAAGCAAGUUGAUUGACUAGCUAGGAUAAUCACUUUCAAAGAUGAUAAACGUUGUCGUAUUAUGUGAAGUCUUGCUUGAGAAUGCACCGAGCACCUGGCUGUGGAAGGUAAAAGAAAAUUACAACAAAAGGUCCUAACAAUCCAAUAGGAUUAUAGAGAAUUUAUAAUUAAACAUUAACAAUCAUAAUCAAAUAUUAAGCAAGCUCAAUUAAAUUUUAUUGAAGUUAUAAAAGAAACACAAAGAAAUCCUAAAGAAAUAUAAAAGAAUAUUAAAGAAAACUUAGUCAAAUCCUAACAAAAAUCUAAUAGAACCUUAAAUUCUAACCAAAUCCUAAUCCUAAUCUAACCUUAAUCAAACCCUAGACAAACCCUAAAUCUUAAAUCAAAUCCUAAUCAAACCUUAAUCCCUAACCAAAUCCUAAUCCAAACCCUAAAUCCUAAAUCCUAAACCAAAUCCUAUCCAAAUCCUAAACCCUAAACCAAACCCUAAUCCAAACCCUAAUCUAAACCCUAAAUCCUAAACCAAACCCUAA